GCCAAGAGCAUGGUCCUUCCAGAGUCCUUCCACCUGCUCCAGGCUUCAGAGGAGGGAUGAGGCUGUGGGACAGGGCUGGGGAUGUGAAGCCAGCCUGGGGCUCUGCUGGGAUGUGCCGUGAGUAUUCGCACCGCGUCUGCCAUGGAGGAGCUGUGCUCUUGGCUGCUGAGCUGGGCUGCCCUGCAAAAUAUGGAAAAUGCUUUCCAAUCAAGCAAGAACUCUGUAUGCAUAAUAAACGUGUGAUUUUUCUGAUGGCUACGUACAGCACAAAUGCUGAAGAAUAGUCUGUGUGCCUUGUCAGAGCACUUAAGUUAAAUAGGGGCACUUUGCAUCAUUGUUUUGAUCUUCAAAAUAAGAGAAAAUUGAAUGCAAAGAGCUGUAGGGAACUUUCAAAGGCACACGAGCAAUUAGGAGCAUAAGUCCUCUUGGCUGAAUAAUCACUUUGGGAUAUUUUUCUUUUCCUGUAUCCUAACUCCCCUCAAAGUAUAGAUGGCAAAAUAGGUCCUGGAGAAUUUGACUCCCUCCAGCUUGUUUGUCCUGUUGGUGAAUCUCUGGAUGUUCCAAGCUGCUUUGGGUUUCCUAUUCUCUGCUGAUGGCUACUUCUACUGGGUUGGUAAAAACACAUCCAGAUACUGAUGAACUUCUGUUUUGCUGAAGUGUGUCUGCAGGUCUUCCCAUAAAAAGGUUACCAGAUUUUCACAGAAAUCCAAACAAAUGCUUGCCUUUGGGGUUAUACCCCGUAAAAAAAGGAGCGUGGAACCCUGAACCUGGAGGACUUAUGGGAGACCUGCAUCUUCUCCUUGGCAAUAAUCUGCAUUUUUCAGACUCCCCUGAGGGGAUGAGGGCCCCAUCCAUGGCACACAAACACCUUCUGUGGCAUCUGGUAAGUGCAGGUAUCACAGAUAUUUGAUGGUGGCAUGGCGAUGGGGAGGGAUAGUGUCAAAUAAGUUACUGUAGGUGUCUGAUACUGUAAUUUCUUAGUGUUCCUGGUCACUCUUUGCAGAAUCACAAGUUG